rnacentral:rRNA from 1 species
GAUGAACGCUAGCUACAGGCUUAACACAUGCAAGUCGAGGGACAGGCGCACGGGUGAGUAACACGUAUCCAACCUGCCCUUUACUCGGGGAUAUCCUUUCGAAAGAAAGCUUAAUACCCGCUAUAAAGGAUGGGGAUGCGUUACUUUAGGUUGUUGGUGAGGUAACGGCCCACCAAGCCUUCGAUGGAUAGGGGUUCUGUGAGCAAGGUCCCCCACAUUGGAACUGAGGCACGGUCCAAACUCCUACGCGAGGCAGCAGUGUGGAAUACUGGUCAAGUAGCGUUAGCCUGAACCUGCCAAGUAGCGUGAAGGAUGAAGGCUUAUGAGUCGUAAACUUCUUUUAUAGAAGAAUAUGUAUUAUAUGAAUAAGGAUCGGCUAACUCCGUGCCAGCAGCCGCGGUAAUAC